GACGAACGCUGGCGGCGUGCCUAACACAUGCAAGUCGAGCGAAUGAAGUUCCUUCGGGAACGGAUUUAGCGGCGGACGGGUGAGUAACACGUGGGCAACCUGCCUCAUAGAGGGGAAUAGCCUUCCGAAAGGGAGAUUAAUACCGCAUAAGAUUGUAGUACCGCAUGGUACAGCAAUUAAAGGAGCAAUCCGCUAUGAGAUGGGCCCGCGGCGCAUUAGCUAGUUGGUGAGGUAACGGCUCACCAAGGCGACGAUGCGUAGCCGACCUGAGAGGGUGAUCGGCCACAUUGGGACUGAGACACGGCCCAGACUCCUACGGGAGGCAGUAGUGGGGAAUAUUGCACAAUGGGGGAAACCCUGAUGCAGCAACGCCGCGUGAGUGAUGACGGCCUGGUGUAAGCUCUGUGAUCGGGACGAACGGUC
rnacentral:rRNA from 1 species